GCCCGCACAAGCGGUGGAUGAUGUGGAUUAAUUCGAUGCAACGCGAAGAACCUUACCUGCUCUUGACAUGCCAGGAACCUUGGAGAGAUCUGAGGGUGCCCGAAAGGGAAUCUGGACACAGGUGCUGCAUGGCUGUCGUCAGCUCGUGUCGUGAGAUGUUGGGUUAAGUCCCGCAACGAGCGCAACCCUUAUCAUUAGUUGCUACGCAAGGGGCACUCUAAUGAGACUGCCGGUGACAAACCGGAGGAAGGUGGGGAUGACGUCAAGUCCUCAUGGCCCUUAUGAGCAGGGCUUCACACGUCAUACAAUGGUCGGUACAGAGGGUUGCCAACCCGCGAGGGGGAGCCAAUCCCACAAAGCCGAUCGUAGUCCGGAUCGCAGUCUGCAACUCGACUGCGUGAAGUCGGAAUCGCUAGUAAUCGCGGAUCAGCAUGUCGCGGUGAAUACGUUCCCGGGCCUUGUACACACCGCCCGUCACACCAU
rnacentral:rRNA from 1 species